rnacentral:rRNA from 1 species
ACUCAAAGGAAUAGACGGGGGCCCGCACAAGCAGUGGAGUAUGUGGUUUAAUUCGAAGCAACGCGAAGAACCUUACCGGGGCUUGACAUCUAUGGAAUUUGAUAGAGAUAUUAAAGUGCCUUUUGGAACCAUAAGACAGGUGGUGCAUGGUUGUCGUCAGCUCGUGUCGUGAGAUGUUGGGUUAAGUCCCGCAACGAGCGCAACCCUUAUUGUUAGUUGCUACCAUUAAGUUGAGCACUCUAGCAAGACUGCCGGCGACAAGUCGGAGGAAGGUGGGGACGACGUCAAAUCAUCAUGCCCCUUAUGUCCCGGGCUACACACGUACUACAAUGGCCGUUAACAACAGGCAGCGAAAUAGUGAUAUGGAGCAAAUCCCUAAAAACGGUCUCAGUUCGAAUUGCAGGCUGAAACUCGCCUGUAUGAAGUCGGAAUUGCUAGUAAUCGCGAAUCAGCAUGUCGCGGUGAAUACGUUCCCGGGCCUUGUACACACCGCCCGU